rnacentral:rRNA from 1 species
AUUGAACGCUGGCGGCAUGCUUUACACAUGCAAGUCGAACGGUAACAGGCCGCAAGGUGCUGACGAGUGGCGAACGGGUGCGUAAUGCAUCGGAACGUGCCCAGUCGUGGGGGAUAACUACUCGAAAGAGUAGCUAAUACCGCAUACGAUCUAUGGAUGAAAGCGGGGGACCGCAAGGCAUCGCGCGAUUGGAGCGGCCGAUGUCAGAUUAGGUAGUUGGUGGGGUAAAGGCGCACCAAGCCAACGAUCUGUAGCUGGUCUGAGAGGACGACCAGCCACACUGGGACUGAGACACGGCCCAGACUCCUACGGGAGGCAGCAGUGGGGAAUUUUGGACAAUGGGCGCAAGCCUGAUCCAGCAAUGCCGCGUGCAGGAAGAAGGCCUUCGGGUUGUAAACUGCUUUUGUACGGAACGAAACGGCUCUGGUUAAUACCCGGGGCUAAUGACGGUACCGUAAGAAUAAGCACCGGCUAACUACGUG